rnacentral:rRNA from 1 species
CCUACGGGGGGCUGCAGUGGGGAAUAUUGGACAAUGGGGGCAACCCUGAUCCAGCCAUGCCGCGUGUGUGAAGAAGGCCCUCGGGUUGUAAAGCACUUUCAGUGAGGAAGAACGCCUGGUGGUUAAUACCCAUCAGGAAAGACAUCACUCACAGAAGAAGCACCGGCUAACUCCGUGCCAGCAGCCGCGGUAAUACGGAGGGUGCGAGCGUUAAUCGGAAUUACUGGGCGUAAAGCGCGCGUAGGUGGCUUGAUAAGCCGGUUGUGAAAGCCCCGGGCUCAACCUGGGAACGGCAUCCGGAACUGUCAAGCUAGAGUGCAGGAGAGGAAGGUAGAAUUCCCGGUGUAGCGGUGAAAUGCGUAGAGAUUGGGAGGAAUACCAGUGGCGAAGGCGGCCUUCUGGACUGACACUGACACUGAGGUGCGAAAGCGUGGGUAGCAAACAGGAUUAGAUACCCUGGUAGUC